CUGUGUCAGAACAGGAGUAAUUCAUUGCAGAAUACCAGUAUCCCACAUUCAGCAUUUAUUUAUCCAAAGAUAAUAAAUGGAAAAGAUGUUGAGGAAGUAAGUUGUGUAGAAACACAGGACAAUCAUAACUCAGAAGUAGAGGCAAGAGAUUGCUGUGAAGCGUCUGUCAGACAGGACUCUGAUUCAUCGGUUUCAGAAAAGCAACGGCAAACCAUCAUCAUCGCCGAUUCCCCGAGUCCUGCAGUGAGUGUGAUCACUAUCAGCAGUGACACUGAUGAGGAAGAGACUUCACCAAGACAUUCGCUCAGAGAAUGUAAAGGUAAUCUAGAUUGUGAAGCUUGCCAGAGCACUUUGAAUAUUGAUCGGAUGUGUUCAUUAAGUAGUCCUGAUAGUACUCUGAGCACCAGCUCCUCGGGGCAGUCCAGCCCAUCCCCUUGCAAGAGACCGAACAGUAUGUCAGAUGAAGAACAAGAAAGUGGUUGUGAUACUGUUGAUGGCUCUCCAACAUCAGACUCUUCAGGGCAUGACAGUCCAUUUGCAGAGAGCAGUUUUGUGGAAGACACUCAUCAAAACACAGACAUGGCAACUUCUGCUGACAUAGAAACCAAGCCAGCUGUUUGUACUGUUGUGGUGCCACCAAUGGCAAUAGAAAAUGGAUUAAAUGCCGAUGAGCAUAUGGCAAACACAGAUUCUACAUGCCAGCAUUAAUAAAAGGACGAUCUGCCCCUGGAAGAUUAAACCAGCCUUCCGCAGUGGGUAAUCGUCGGCAAAAAUUGACAUCAGCAUUCCAGCAGCAGCAUUUGAACUUCAGCCAAGUUCAACACUUUGGAUCUGGGCAUCAAGAGUGGAAUGGAAAUUUUGGGCAUUGAAGACAGCAAGCUUAUAUCCCUACUAGUGUUACCA
rnacentral:lncRNA from 1 species